CUUCUUUUCACUACUUUUUCUUGGAUUCUUCCAACUUAUUAUUAAUUGAAUUCGGAAAACAUUUCCUCAAAUUUAACGUUGGCGCCUGAUUUGAAAACCUCCCUCUCACUCCAUAAUAAUCUUGGUACGUGUCGCUUGUGUGUCGUGUAACAGUAUAUAAUCAAGACUCAAGACAGAUACAACCAGCUAACUAAACUAGGGUUCACAAUUUGUUUUUGCCGAACCUUUUUCACCAUCAUUUUGGUCUUGUUUUUCUGCCAAUACAAACAAACAAAAACUUGAUUCUCUCUAUUCCAUGGCGCCCGGAAGGAAGAAGCGGCAAGGGAACACAUCCAUUAUUCCUGUGGAUGCAAACCCCACUCAGCAAAAAGCACAAUCUUUGGAUAUUGAUGCUGAGUGUGAGAGUGAGACCAAAAGAAUGAAAUUUGCUGAGGAAAAUGGUGAUGGGGCAGGGGGUUCUUCUUCUGUUGUGAAAAAGAAGCGUGGCAGAAAAAGUAAAAAGGAGAAGCAGGACACGGAAAAGAUGUUAGAGAGCAAUUUGUCGGAGAAGAAAGAUACUCAAGGCGAAUACCACGGUGAAAAUUGUGGAGUAGGAGGGUGUUCUUCUGUUCAAGAAAGUGCGAAAAAGAAACGUGGAAGAAAGAGUAAAAAGGAGAAGGAGGACAUGGAAAAGAAGAAGAUGGUAGAGGAGAAAGAUGCUCAAAACGAAAACCAUGGUGAAAAUGGUGGAGUAGGAGGUUCUUCUUGUGUUGUAGAUAGUGUGCCAAAGAAGCGUGGCAGAAAAAGUAAGAAGGAGAAGGAAGACGUGGAAAAGAAGAUGUUAGAGGAGAAAGAUGCUCAAAACGAAAACCAUGGUGAAAAUGGUGGAGUAGGAGGUUCUUCUUCUGUUGUAGAAGCUGUGGUAAAGAAGCGAGGUAGAAAGAGUAAAAAGGAGAAGGAAGACAUGGAAAAGAAGAUGUUAGAGGAGAAAGAUGCUCAAAACGAAAACCAUGGUGAAAAUGGUGGAGUAGGAGGUUCUUCUUCUGUUGUAGAUGGUGUGCCAAAGAAGCGUGGCAGAAAAAGUAAGAAGGAGAAGGAAGACAUGGAAAAAAAGAUGUUAGAGGGAAAUUUGCUGGAGAAGAAAGAUGUUCAAGACGUUAACCAUGCCGAAAAUGGUGGGGUACCUGAUAUGAGGCGUGGAAGUAAAAGAAAGAUGCUUAAGGAAGAUGAUGGUGAGUUUGAAAUGCCUGUGGAUUCUUCAGGAAGUAGCAUUCAGAAACAAUAUAGUCUUAGGGCCCCUAGAGUCAAUAUAGAAGAGGCAAUGCCAAAAAUCAACAAGAGAGAUCCUAAGCAGUGGAUUGAAGAGGAGUCCUUAAUGUGUCAUCAAUGUCAGAGAAAUGAUAAAGGCAGGGUUGUGAGGUGCACACGUUGUAAGAGGAAAAGAUUUUGUGUACUCUGUAUAGAAAAUUGGUAUCCUCAUUUGAAAGAGGAUUAUAUUGCUGAGGCAUGCCCUGUGUGCCGUGGUAAUUGCAACUGCAAAGCAUGCUUGAGAUCCAAUCAACUUAUUAAAAAAAUGAAGAAAAAAGAAGAAACCAAUGAAAAUGAGAAGAUUGAACUCUCUAUGCAUUUGUUGCAAGUACUUCUUCCGUAUUUAAGGCUGUUGGAUGAAGAACAGAUGAUUGAGAAUGAGACAGAAGCCAAGAUACGGGGGCUCUCAGUCUCAGAGCUAAAUGUAGCACAGGCAAAUUUUGAUAAAGAUGAGCGUGUGUACUGUGACAACUGCAAAACGUCAAUAUUUGAUUACCACAGAAGCUGUACAAAAUGCUCUUUCGACCUUUGUCUCAUCUGUUGUCGCGAGCUUCGAACUGGCCAGCUUGUAGGUGGUGCAGAUCCAAUUAUGUUGGAGUUUGUCUGUCAAGGUCGUGAUUACCUGCAUGGUGAGGAAAAUAUAAGUGUAAAACAAAAUGAACCAAAUGCUGUUGAACAAAAUGAACCAAAUGCUGUUGAACGAAAUGAACCAAAUGCUGUUGCUGAGACUGUAGUUCGUGAGUGGUCAAGAUCUGGGUGGCAUGCAGAAAGUAAUGGUAGCAUUCCUUGUCCAAAAGUCAAUGAUGAAUGUAACCAUGGUUUUCUUGAACUGAGAAGCAUAUUAGGUCAACAUUUUAUCACUGAUUUAGUGCAUAAAGCAAACGAACUAGCACAAGCAUACAAGCUUCAAGAUGUAGUUAAGACCCCUGACAACUUCUGUUCGUGUUUGAGGCUUGAUAGAAACACAGAUGUUAGAUAUAAUAAUAUGAGGAAGGUUGCUUCUCGUGCAGAUUCCAGGGACAACUAUUUAUACUGUCCUAGGGCUGUAGAUCUACAGGAUGAGGAUUUAAGGCAUUUUCAGUGGCAUUGGGAAAAGGGGGAGCCUGUCAUUGUCAGCAACGUGCUUGCAAAAACAUCUGGUUUAAGCUGGGAACCACUUGUCAUGUGGCGUGCAUUCCGUCAGAUGACUAAGACCAAGCAUGAACAACAUUUGGAUGUGAAGGCAAUUGAUUGCUUAGAUUGGUGCGAGGGAGAAAUUAAUAUCCACCAAUUCUUUACUGGGUAUACAAAAGUUCGUGAGGAUUGGCAUAGUUGGCCUCAAAUAUUGAAAUUAAAAGAUUGGCCUCCUUCUAAUUUAUUUGAGGAACGCUUGCCUCGACAUUGUGCAGAGUUCAUAUCUUCCUUGCCCUUCAAGGAAUAUACUGAUCCUCUCAAAGGUUCUCUUAACUUAGCUGUGAAGUUGCCAACAGAUUGUCUAAAACCAGACAUGGGGCCAAAGACGUAUAUUGCUUACGGAUUUCAUCAGGAGCUCGGGCGUGGUGAUUCAGUGACUAAGCUCCAUUGUGAUAUGUCUGAUGCAGUAAAUGUGUUGACUCAUAUUGCUGAAGUGAAAUUGGAACCAAAGCAUCUCAUUGCCAUUGAGAAGUUGAAACAAAAGCACUUUGAACAAGACAAAAGGGAGCUACUUGGUGAUGAUCAAAAUAGAGAAACUAGUGUUGACAUGCUUAAUAAUUUGUCUUCUACUAUAAAUGCUUUGGACAAGCAAAAUAGUGUCCAAGUCAUGGAACACAAAGGCAAAUUAUAUGAUAGGAAAGAAGUUGAUCAGUUCCAUCAACCCUCUGGUGGUAAUGAGAUUGCCAUUGCUAAUGAGGAUGGUCUUUCAUGUGAAUCAGAGCAUAAAGAGGUUGACAAAGUAAAAAUAAAGCAAGAAAGUGAUAUGUUGUCUGGGGGGGAUGGUUCAGAAGGUGCUCUCUGGGAUAUUUUUCGGAGGCAGGAUGUACCUAAAUUGCAGGAAUAUCAGAGGAAGCAUUUCAGAGAGUUCAGGCAUCUCCAUUGCUGUCCUUUAAAGCAGGUUAUUCACCCCAUCCAUGACCAGACCUUCUAUCUGACUGUGGAGCAUAAGAGGAAGCUUAAGGAGGAGUAUGGAAUUGAGCCCUGGACUUUUAUUCAGAAGGUAGGAGAUGCUGUUUUUGUUCCAGCUGGUUGUCCUCACCAAGUCAGAAAUCUGAAGUCAUGUAUUAAGGUUGCAUUGGAUUUUGUCUCUCCGGAAAAUGUUGGGGAGUGCUUUCGUUUGACAGAGGAAUUUCGCACACUUCCAAUAAACCACAUGUCUUGUGAGGACAAAUUGGAGGUCAAACCGAGCAAGGAUAUGUACUAAGCAAUGCUAUAACUAAAAAGAGUUUGGUCCUAUUGCAAAAGAUAGUCCAUAGAAGUUUUGCAACUAUUGCAAGCAGCAACAACAUCUCAUAUCAACUUGCCCUAUUGGGUCAAAGAAGUAAGGAACUGCCAUACUUCUAAUGAUGCUCCUAUUUCUACCUCAACACUUGUCCCAAUCUCAAGUCCUACAAACACAAAUGCUCUCACUCCUAAAAGGGUACAACAAAUGAUACUCUUAGCGGUUAUCACUUUUUGCUUUUGAACAUCUCAAGGUGAAGAAGAUGACAAUAUAUGCUAUGCAAGACGUGAUUGAAAAAUUGGAGGAAGCAAGGUCCGGGAAAACCAAGGUUUCAGAGUAAAUAUUAUCUGUAACAGAUCAUAGCCAAUUGGAAUUGUAAAUUUUUUGAGCAAUUAGCUUAUUUCAGGUGUGAUGAUGUUGGGUUCUAUGUAUUGUGACUGUAAGAAUGGUUCUAUAUUUUUGUUUUGCAACCACACCUGGAAGGGUAUACAUGUAAUUGCCACGUAGUUUACUUUUUUUGAGCUUCUGAAUAGAGGUGUUGACAAUCGAAUUAAACCAAGCAUAAAA